AACGAACGCUGGCGGCAUGCCUAACACAUGCAAGUCGAACGAGACCUUCGGGUCUAGUGGCGCACGGGUGCGUAACGCGUGGGAACCUGCCCUUAGGUUCGGAAUAACUCCCCGAAAGGGGUGCUAAUACCGGAUAAUGUCUUCGGACCAAAGAUUUAUCGCCUUUGGAUGGGCCCGCGUUGGAUUAGCUUGUUGGUAGGGUAAAAGCCUACCAAGGCGACGAUCGAUAGCUGGUCUGAGAGGAUGAUCAGCCACACUGGGACGGAGACAAGGCCCAGACUCCUACGGGACGCAGCAGUGGGGAAUAUUGCAAUAUGGGCGGAAGCCUGAUGCAGUCACGCCGCGUGCGGGAUGAAGGCCGUCGGGUUGUAAACCGAUUUCGCCGGUGACGAAGCGUGAGUGACGGGAAUGGGUAAAGAAGCACCGGCUAGCUACGUG
rnacentral:rRNA from 1 species